UCGGAUAUGGUGUACGGUACACGGCCUCUCUCCUUCAAGGCUUUCGUAGACGUCAGCUGAGGCAGUCCGGGGUUCGACUCCCCGUGUCCGAA